UACGAAGGGGGCUAGCGUUGCUCGGAAUUACUGGGCGUAAAGGGAGCGUAGGCGGGUUAUCAAGUUGGAGGUGAAAGCCCAGGGCUCAACCUUGGAAUUGCCUUCAAAACUGAUAGCCUAGAGUAUGAUAGAGGUAUGUGGAACUCCGAGUGUAGAGGUGAAAUUCGUAGAUAUUCGGAAGAACACCAGUGGCGAAGGCGACAUACUGGGUCAUGACUGACGCUGAGGCUCGAAAGCGUGGGGAGCGAACAGG
rnacentral:rRNA from 1 species